AGUGAACGCUGGCGGUAGGCCUAACACAUGCAAGUCGAACGGCAGCACAGUAAGAGCUUGCUCUUACGGGUGGCGAGUGGCGGACGGGUGAGGAAUACAUCGGAAUCUACUUUUUCGUGGGGGAUAACGUAGGGAAACUUACGCUAAUACCGCAUACGACCUACGGGUGAAAGCAGGGGAUCUUCGGACCUUGCGCGAUUGAAUGAGCCGAUGUCGGAUUAGCUAGUUGGCGGGGUAAAGGCCCACCAAGGCGACGAUCCGUAGCUGGUCUGAGAGGAUGAUGAGCCACAGAGGAACUGAGACACGGUACAGACUCCUACGGGAGGCAGCAGUGGGGAAUAUAGGACAAUGGGCGCAAGCCUGAUCCAGCCAUACCGCGUGGGUGAAGAAGGCCUUCGGGUUGUAAAGCCCUUUUGUGGGGAAAGAAAAGCAGCAGGUUAAUACCACGCUGUGCGAAGGGUACCCAAAGAAUAAGCACCGGCAAACUUGGG
rnacentral:rRNA from 1 species